UAAACAGGCUAAAGUUGAAUCAGAACCCACAUGCAAAAUAUGCAACACUUAGAACAGGGAUAGAGUUACCCUCCAUCUUCGCGAACGGAGAAGAACGGCCUUCAAUCGCCAGAUAAAACCCUAGGUCCAACCACCGGAAAUCGUAGGGUCUGGAAACUUACCGGAAUAGGGUCACGGACGUCAGAAAAUCACGCAAAACAUCCACCGAGUGAGGAUCGAGCCAUCGGAUAGCAGUAAAACCCUAGGUCCGACCACCGGAAACCCUAGAAUCUAGAAAGUCACCGGAAUAAGGUCAGGGAUGUCGGAAAAUCACCCAAAAUAUCCACUGAGUGAAGAUCGAAGCAUCAAAUAGCAGUAAAAGUUCCGAUUAUCUGUUCAAUACCACAUCGUUCUCUCGGUAAACAGAAUCUCUCACAAAUAUCCAAGAAAACCCUUAAGUAGAACUUCCAACACGAUCAAUAACAAGUAACGGAGAAGAAUCCGAGGAUCAUCUCGCUCUGAUACCAUGAAAACAUACAGAUUGAAGGCAAAAAUGAUGAGAGAUACAGUGAGAGAAAGAGAGAAAAAUGAGAGAACUCUCUG
rnacentral:lncRNA from 1 species